rnacentral:rRNA from 1 species
CCUACGUGAGGCAGCAGUGGGGAAUAUUGGACAAUGGGCGAAAGCCUGAUCCAGCCAUGCCGCGUGUGUGAAGAAGGCCUUCGGGUUGUAAAGCACUUUCAGUGGGGAAGAAAGCCUUGGGGCUAAUACCCUCGAGGAAGGACAUCACCCACAGAAGAAGCACCGGCUAACUCCGGGCCAGCAGCCGCGGUAAUCCGGAGGGUGCGAGCGUUAAUCGGAAUUACUGGGCGUAAAGCGCGCGUAGGCGGUCUGAUAAGCCGGUUGUGAAAGCCCCGGGCUCAACCUGGGAACGGCAUCCGGAACUGUCAGGCUAGAGUGCAGGAGAGGAAGGUAGAAUUCCCGGUGUAGCGGUGAAAUGCGUAGAGAUCGGGAGGAAUACCAGUGGCGAAGGCGGCCUUCUGGGCUGACACUGACGCUGAGGUGCGAAAGCGUGGGUAGCAAACAGGAUUAGAUACCCUGGUAGUC